rnacentral:rRNA from 1 species
GCAGUGUACCCGCGGCAAGACGGAAAGACCCCGUGAACCUUUACUAUAGCUUGACACUGAACAUUGAGCCUUGAUGUGUAGGAUAGGUGGGAGGCUUUGAAGUGUGGACGCCAGUCUGCAUGGAGCCGGCCUUGAAAUACCACCCUUUAAUGUUUGAUGUUCUAACGUUGGCCCCUGACCGGGGUUGCGGACAGUGUCUGGUGGGUAGUUUGACUGGGGCGGUCUCCUCCUAAAGAGUAACGGAGGAGCACGAAGGUUGGCUAAUCCUGGUCGGACAUCAGGAGGUUAGUGCAAUGGCAUAAGCCAGCUUGACUGCGAGCGUGACGGCGCGAGCAGGUGCGAAAGCAGGUCAUAGUGAUCCGGUGGUUCUGAAUGGAAGGGCCAUCGCUCAACGGAUAAAAGGUACUCCGGGGAUAACAGGCUGAUACCGCCCAAGAGUUCAUAUCGACGGCGGUGUUUGGCACCUCGAUGUCGGCUCAUCACAUCCUGGGGCUGAAGUAGGUCCCAAGGGUAUGGCUGUUCGCCAUUUAAAGUGGUACGCGAGCUGGGUUUAGAACGUCGUGAGACAGUUCGGUCCCUAUCUGCCGUGGGCGCUGGAGAACUGAGGGGGGCUGCUCCUAGUACGAGAGGACCGGAGUGGACGCAUCACUGGUGUUCGGG